GCGCGAAAACUUUACAAUGCUGGCAACAGCAAUAAGGGAACCUCGAGUGCCAGGUUACAAAUCUGGCUGUCGAGAUGCCUAAAAAGCAUUUCAUAGCAAGGGCCGGGCAAGACCGGUGCCAGCCGCCGCGGUAACACCGGCGGCUCGAGUGGUAACCGUUAUUAUUGGGUCUAAAGGGUCUGUAGCCGGCCGGAUAAGUCUCUUGAGAAAUCUGGCAGCUUAACUGUCAGGCCUUCAGGAGAUACUGUUUGGCUCGAGGCCGGGAGAGGUGAGAGGUACUUCAGGGGUAGGGGUGAAAUCUUGUAAUCCUUGAAGGACCACCAGUGGCGAAGGCGUCUCACCAGAACGGACCUGACGGCAAGGGACGAAAGCUAGGGGCACGAACCG
rnacentral:rRNA from 1 species